CUCUAGCGAGACUGCCGGUAAUAAACCGGAGGAAGGUGGGGAUGACGUCAAAUCAUCAUGCCCCUUAUGACCUGGGCUACACACGUGCUACAAUGGUUGGUACAACGAGUUGCGAGUCGGUGACGGCGAGCUAAUCUCUUAAAGCCAAUCUCAGUUCGGAUUGUAGGCUGCAACUCGCCUACAUGAAGUCGGAAUCGCUAGUAAUCGCGGAUCAGCACGCCGCGGUGAAUACGUUCCCGGGCCUU
rnacentral:rRNA from 1 species